rnacentral:misc_RNA from 1 species
GGAAAUGACACUGUUCCAAUAUAGGAGAAAACACUUGCAAGGAAAGAUCACACAUUCACCAUGGAAAAAGAAGCAAACUUUCAUGACUCAGUCACCAUAAUUAGUUCCAACUAUGCCAAUAUGGCAUGCAAGGAGACAUUGUAAUUAAUCAGUCAACAACCAUAGACUAUCUACUCGAGCCACCCCUAUUAAAACGGAUUCUAACAAAGGUUAUUCCCAACCUGUGGAUAGGACCUGAAAAUACAGUAGCCUGCAUCGUGAAAACUUGGUCUCCAUCAAGAAACGACAGAAACAGACUUUUCUUUGCAAAGCGACAACCCCUUCUUUCCAUUACUGGUGAUUGCACAGUAGCCUGAGCAAGCAUUUGAACAUCAAUAUCCCUAUGGAUAUAACCUCAAAACUCACAUUGCUGUUUGGCACACUUCUUUCUUUAGUCCUACUCACUUCAGCUCAAACAUGCUCAAACUUUACCUUUCCAAAUAACCAAGUCUUCAGUUCCUGCACUGACCUUCCGUCACUGCAAGCUCAACUCCACUGGAACUACAUUGCCUCCACCAGAAGCAUUCACUUAGCAUACAAAGCCAACCAAGCCCCUGCAGGAUGGAUUGCGUGGGCAAUCAACCCAACUGGAACAGGCAUGGUAGGUUCACAGGCAUUAGUUGCUUGUCAAAAUUCUGAAGGAAGCAUGACUGCUUUUCCAACUCCAGUAACCAGUUCGAGCCCAUCAAUGCAACCUGGUACUCU